GCACUGUUGACGAGUCCCACAAUAGAACGAAACGACCGUUCAGUGC
rnacentral:hammerhead_ribozyme from 1 species